UACAGAGGUCUCAAGCGUUGUUCGGAAUCACUGGGCGUAAAGGGUGCGUAGGCGGCGGGGAAAGUCAGAUGUGAAAUCCGGAGGCUCAACCUCCGAAUUGCAUCCGAUACUCCCUCGCUAGAGAGUUGUAGGGGAGCUUGGAAUUCUCGGUGUAGCAGUGAAAUGCGUAGAUAUCGAGAAGAACGCUCGCAGCGAAGGCGAAGCUCUGGGCAACAUCUGACGCUGAUGCACGAAGGCUGGGGGAGCAAACGGG
rnacentral:rRNA from 1 species